GACGAACGCUGGCGGCGUGCUUAACACAUGCAAGUCGAACGGAAAGGCCCUUCGGGGUACUCGAGUGGCGAACGGGUGAGUAACACGUGGGUGAUCUGCCUCGUACUUUGGGAUAAGCCUGGGAAACUGGGUCUAAUACCGAAUAUGACCUUCCCUCGCAUGGGGGUUGGUGGAAACUUUUUGGGUACGAGAUGGGCCCGCGGCCUAUCAGCUUGUUGGUGGGGUAAUGGCCUACCAAGGCGACGACGGGUAGCCGGCCUGAGAGGGCGACCGGCCACACUGGGACUGAGACACGGCCCAGACUCCUACGGGAGGCAGCAGUGGGGAAUAUUGCACAAUGGGCGCAAGCCUGAUGCAGCGACGCCGCGUGAGGGAUGACGGCCUUCGGGUUGUAAACCUCUUUCACCAGGGACGAAGAGAAAUUGACGGUACCUGGAGAAGAAGCACCGGCCAACUACGUGCCAGCCGCCGCCGUAACAC
rnacentral:rRNA from 1 species